rnacentral:rRNA from 1 species
CCUACGGGCGGCAGCAGUGGGGGAUAUUGCACAAUGGGGGAAACCCUGAUGCAGCGACGCCGCGUGUGGGAAGACGGUCCUCUGGAUUGUAAACCACUGUCCCCAGGGACGAAGAUGACGGUACCUGUGGAGGAAGCUCCGGCUAACUACGUGCCAGCAGCCGCGGUAAUACGUAGGGGGCGAGCGUUGUCCGUAAUUACGGGGGGAAAAGGGAGCGUAGGCGGGGAUGCAAGUUGGGUGUAAAAACUACCGGCUCAACUGGUAGUCGCACUCAAAACUGCAGAUCUUGAGUGAAGUAGAGGAAGGCGGAAUUCCUAGUGUAGCGGUGAAAUGCGUAGAUAUUAGGAGGAACACCAGUGGCGAAGGCGGCCUGCUGGGCUUUUACUGACGCUGAGGCUCGAAAGUGUGGGGAGCAAACAGGAUUAGAUACCCCAGUAGUC